GCAAGUGUUGAAAAUAAACAGAGAAGCUGACACAAAGGCAAACAAAUCUAGGAUCUAUCUUUAAAAGUAAAGUCUUUAGGGCAUUGGUAUGAAUAUCAGGACCUGACCCUAAGAGAAAAUAGCUUCUCAGAAGUGAUGUGGUGAAACAGAAAUUGAUGGAAACACAGAGCAAGCAACAGAUCUGCUCAGCCAGGACUGGAUUUGAGCAUAUCUGGUUUUCGUGCUCACAGCAUCCUGCUGAGUUGACAAUAGGGUUCAAAAAUGAACUACAGAGUUAUCUGUUUAAGAAAGAAAUAAACUUUGUAAGGCCUUGUUAGAAAUCACUUUUAAAGUAUUUUUGUUAGUGGAGUUUUCCUCUGAUGUAUUAUUGUUUGGGUUGCACUUAGUACAUCUGAAUAAAAUAAAUGCUGGGAUAUUUCUAAUUUCUGGUGAUUGUCAAAGGCUAGUCAUUUGAAACAUGCCUGUUAGGAUUUCACAAUGGCCUUGUCAUUGGGAAUUAUGAUUCAUCAUCUACAUAGAAUAAUAAGCACAGAAAAGAAAGGAAAUGUCAGAACAAGUUGACUAUUUCAACUUAGACUCUGCUAGGCUUUGUAUUCAGAAGAAAGAAUUGUUCCAAUUACUUGUGAUUGCUGCAAGCUUCUGGGGAUGUUGAAACAAGUUUACUACAAGUGAUAUCAGUACAAAAAAACAAAAUCUAAAAGAAGAUACAUCAAUGUUCCAUUGAUGUGCCUUCAUGAAAUUUUCUUUCUUUGCUUAAUAUUUAGUUUUCAAGAUCCACAAGAUGGUCUUAAAAUCUUGCAGACUUGGAGACUCAGGUCACUUAUAUGUGUCUUUACUCUGUGGACAUAUUUUUAGUUAAUUUUAAAGGUCACCUUCCUUCUGAGAACCUAAAGGUGGUAUUCCUUAGAGAAAGAAGAAAAUGGGAAGGUUUUUGUGCAUUUUUUUUUUUCCUACCUUUAAAGCAAUCCUGUUUACAUGUCAUGCUGCUUUGAUGUUAUGUGACAGGUCAUCAUUCAGAUCAUUGUGCUUUCAUUCAUUCAGUACACAAGCAAGUAAAAAUGUGCAUGGUCUUUGUUCUAAUAAAAAAAAAUAUCCUGCAGGAGAGAUGAAGAGAAUGCUUGCAUAUGGUCCAUGGGACCACAAUCCAUAAUUUACUUUGCAGAUGUCUGUGUAAUUUAAGCAACAGGCAGAACAACCACAUAGUCGUAGCUGCUCUGGGGAAAGGAUACCAAGAGGCUCAUAAAUCAUGGUAAGGAUUAAAAGCAAUGAGCAUUCAUCUUCUUAACCUCGUAAAGGCAAAUUGGAAAGCCAAGGAUUAGAACACAGAGAGCAUCCAAUCUUUUGCAGGGGGAAAGGUGUCAAAGUUUUUAAGGCUUCUCUCUAUUAGCAUUGACCUGCCAUUUGGCAAGUCAGCAGAACGUAAUUUUUAAACUGAUUUUCAAAAAAGCCCCUCCCCCAUCAAAAUGAAACAUAUCUGUCAGUAUAGUAAAAGUGGAGACAAUUUAUGUAGAAAAGUGAAUCAUUUUCCUAGAUUGAAACAUAUUUCUUCUUUGACAGUAUAUGGAAAAUAACCUUAAUAAUCCAAUCCAAAAAGAACUUCAUGUUUAGUUAAACAUGUUUAAAUAGUGAAAUGUCAUGAGAAAAAUUUAACUUCAGAAUAGUCAAAUGAAGCAGAUAAAGACAGCUGGGUCUCUUCUAUAACAUUUAGUAAACAAAUGGCCUGUUACUAAUUGUUUAUAUUUGAAAAAUUAUCCUAAUCAAAGGUCUUUGGCUGCAAAUGAGGGAAUCAUACACAGUAAGAAGUUUCAUUUUUUGUUGAAGAUAGAAACUUUAAUCAAAUUUUAAAGCUCUUGAAAAUACUAAUUUGUUAAUUUGCUCAGUAUUCUUUUCACUUAGACUCAUGAUACACCUGAACUUUGCAGUUUUAUAAAAACACCAGGAUAGAGCAGAGAAUAAUAAAAUCACUUUUCAAGGAUAAUGAGCCCAUUAAGGAGACAAAUAAAUUCUAGUUUCUGAUUCCCUGGUUUAUUUAAUAUCAAAUAUCCUUUGUCAAUGAUUCUUUAAUGUAACCAAUACUUAGCUAUCUGUUUUAGUUAAGGGGGGGGGGCUACAGUGCUGCUAAUCCAGAGUGGCUGACAGUGAAAAAUACGUAUUUGUAUUUAGCAUUAAAAAGUAUUUUGUGUUCAUAUUUGAGCAUGAUUUCACCUGACAUUUAGAAAGCCACAAUUACCCAGUGUUUGAAAACAAUCAGAGUAACAUAGCAUAUCUUUUAAUUUGGGCUACUUCUGUACUGAGUGUACCCUACCCUAUACUCCAUGCUUUGGGACAAAUAAUCUUUCUUUCCAUUUGGUAGGCAUGUGCCAAUCUCAGCCUCUCAGUUUAUCCCUCCCUGCAAAGUUUCCCCUUUGGUAAUCAUAAGUUUGCUUUUGAAAUCUUUGAGUCUGUUUCUGUUUUGUGAGUCAGUUCUUUUGUAUCAUUUUAUUAGAUUCCAUGUAUUAGUGAUCUUACAUGAUAUUUGCCUUUCUCUGUCUGACUUACUUUACUUAGUGUUAUAAUCUCUAGGUCCAACCAUGUUGUUGCAGUGACAUUGUUUUGUUCUUUUUUAUGGACAAGUAAUAUUUCAUCGAAUAUAUGUACCACAUCUUCUUUAUCCAUUCCUUUGUUGAUGGACAUUUAGGUUGCUUCCAUGUCUUGGCUAUUGUAUAUAGUGCUACAACGAACAUUGGGAUGUAUGUAUCUUUUUGAAUUAUGUCUUUCUCUGGAUAUAUGCCCAGGAGUGGGCUUGCUGAAUCAUAUGGUAGUUCUAUAUUUAGUUCCCUAAGGACCCUCCAUAGUGUUCUCCAUAGUGGUUACAUCAAUUUACAUUUCUCCCGACGGUAUCAAAUGCUCUGAUGCAAGCUUAUGUACAAUUUUAGAGCAAAACAACUUUAUUGUAUUGUCCACCAUUACAUUUAACUGUUCCUUUAUCUGUUUUCUAACAAUGUUGAGUUGAAUUUCCCAGGAUCAAUUCAAGGCAAGAAAGGAAGAGAAUUUUGAAUCUCUGUUUAUGUGGCUUCUUUGCCACAUGAGGUAAAUGUGCUAUUGUAAUAAUUAAAUGAGAAAAACAUUGUAUAUUUUUGCACUAAAAAUAGGCUAAAUCACUUUUGACUUCAUAAUGACACUAUUUAAUGACAAAAGUAUGGGUCCCAGAGCCUGCUAAAAACAAUAAACUAUUAUUUAAAAAGAGCAAAUAUUUGUACCUGUGCCUACAUAUCUUAAUUACUUUUUAAAUUUAUUAUUAAAUAAGUGUAAUGAAUUUUAAAAAUGAUAUACAUUAAAUAUAUUUUAAUAUUUUAAAAUUCUUGUUUUUAUAUUUCAGAUACCUCUGUAAAGUGAGCAUCAUACAGACAAAAAUUAAUUCACUUUUCUUCUUUGUUUUCUUCCUUAAUAGCUUUCUCCCUAAUUUACAUAAAGCAUUCCAUGCUUAGCAGCAAGGGGAGAUAAAUUAUAGAUUUGUGGAUUAAUUUAUUCAAAAAUAUUAUUGAAAACAGUCUAUACAUUACUUUGUGCCAGUGACUCUCUCUGGGUAGUAUAUAAAUUUGUGAAAUAUAUCAUUAAAAAUUACAAACCUGGAGUUCCCAUUAUGGCUCAGUGGGUUAAGAACCCAACAUAGUGUCCAUAAGGAUGAAGGUUUGAUUCCCUGGCUUGCUCAGUUGGUAAGGAUCUGCAUUUCCAUAAGCUGCAACAUGGGUUGCAGGUGCAGCUCAGAUCCAGUGUUGCCAUGUCUCUUUUAUAGGCCUGCAGCUGCAGCUCUAAUUUGACCCCUGGCCUGGGAACUUGCAUAUGCUACAGUUGCUGCUGUAAAAAGAAAAAGAAAAUUACUUACCAUGUUGGUACCUGAAUUCUAGUGAAAAGAAUAAAAACAAAGAAAUUAUAUAAUAUGCAAAUUAUAUUUAAAUUAUAGAUAAAUCAGUAUAUAGAUAAUGAGAAAUGCUAUGCCAAAAUAAGCUGAGAAGAGAGAUAGGAAGUUUUUGUGUUGAAAAGCAAAGGGGAUAUAGUAUUUUGCUAAAUUUUAAAACAUGGUUAAAAGAAGGCCUUCCCAAUAAUAUAACCUUUGGGAAUAUUUGAGAUAAAGUUGAGAACAACUAUUAAAAUAUCUAGAGAACAGCACUCCAAAAUAAACUAUGCAUUUCAAGUUGACAAGGUGGGAAUAAUUUGAUGUGCCUGAUUAAAACCCAGCAAAAUCAGUGGGAUGAAAGUUAAGAAAGAGAAUGGGGAAGGAUUAUAGGAAGUGAGGUCUAAUAAACAGGGGCCUUGUGUGGUAAGUUAGAGACUUUGCUUUUUCCUCCAAGUGAGACUAGAAGUCAUUGGAUGGGCCUGGACAGAACAGGGGCCAUGAUAAACUAUUUUAUCAUUGAAGGUGAUUUCUCUGGUUGAGGUGUCGACUUUGUGCUAUAGGGGCACAGGACUGGAAUUAGGGAACCCUCCUUAAGGCAAGCACAGUAACACAGGUGUGCAAUAUGGUAGCUGAAACCUGGGCUACAGCAGACCAGAUAGUGAGAAGUAGGGAGACUGACACCAGAUGAUUUGAUGGUACAUUAUAUGCGUGGUGUGAAAAGAUGAGUAAGGUCCAGGGUAACUCCAGGACAUGUGGCCUAAGGAACUGAUGAAAGCUUGGCAUGGGAAGAUGGCAGUGUGAGUGGUGCUUUCUACAGCAGCUAAGUCAUAAGGCUUAUUGCCUCAUGGUCAGUUGAGAAACUAUAACAUACAGGAAGUAAAAUAAAUGUAUUCCCUAAUUACUUGCUGAUUUUAUGGGGAAAUAUGUAUAGGUGGAUAUGAAAGAGAGUAAGGAUCAAUUCAUCUCAGGAGAAGAAAGAGGAUUCAUUGAAGGGUGGAGUUAGACACAAUGAGGGCAAAGGGAUCUUUGCUCAGUGCUUUGGGGUAUUUGAGAAGACGUCUGUACACCUCUCAACAUGUCUGCAGCCUCAGGAGAAAGGUGGAAUUGGAUGGUUAACAGAGGAAGGAUCUGGCUGAGCUGAGAAUAGAUAAUAUAUUUAUUAGCUGAAAGUAUCAAUAAUAUGUAACAAAUAAGCUCAAGGAAGCAACUAGACUCAACACACCUGAGCAGACACCAGUAACUCCACAAGGCAGCAUCACCACUGUUCCAGAAAGUCUUUUUCCUUCCAUCUCUACAAGGUCACAUGAGCCCCCUUUAUCUUAAAUACAAGCCCAGGGAAAGAUGCAAAAGACCAUAUAAUACCCCAGAGAUCCUGGUGUACCUAUUUAUAAAGUACUUAAAUUUUUAGGCCUAACAAAAUUUUAAACUAGAGGUGAGGUUGCUCAUGAGAAAAGUCAUCAGUUUGGAAAACAAAGGCACAACAUUUUCAUUGCAUAUCUGAGUCUUAUUGCAAAUAUAAUCUGUGACAUUACAAUUCAUGACACUAUGAAAAGAAUACUUAGGGCAAGUGCAUUCCUAUCAUUUGGCAACACUGGCUAAAACUAAUCUUAAAUAAUAUGUAAUAUUUUAAUGUUUAUUUAAUAAAUGUCCAUGGCGAAAAUAUAGAUGAAAUUUAAAAGAUCAAGUUUUAGUAGUAUAGGUAGUUAGAUGCAGGUACAAGGGCUUUUCAGACUUAUAUAUUAUAUGUUCUAUUAAUGGAACUACCUUAGAAAAUGUCUCAGAGUAGAUUUAUAUCUAAUCUUUGGAUAUCACAAAGAAAUAGUUCUUAGAAAAUCAGAGAAAUGUGAGAACGUGGGAGAGAUUAUCAUUUAUAUUUAUGAUAAAUCUGAGGGAGCCAUGUGGUUGGUUUUUAAUCAGGAUGUAGAAUGUCUUCUUCUAAUUCUAUAAAAAUCUCCGUAUUUAGCUAUGGUGCUUAGAAUGGCAAACAUCCGAAUCACUUCACUAAUUAACACAAUUGUCAUAUUCUGGCUCCUAUAGAGACAAAUAAUUAAGCUGGGAUCCAAACAUAUUAGGUGGUUCUAGCAGCCUGGCAAUGAUGUAUGGUGUUCUACAUUCUGUGGUCAGAAAUCCUCUACUGUCAUUUCUUGAUAGUAUUUCUUAUAUUUUAUGUGCAGAUUCUUCGGCAAAGCUGAAUUUCAUAGGUUCAUGUUACAGUUAUAAGUUUCUUUAUGGCUUUUUGUCUUAUUCUAAUUACACUCUCAGGAUUUCUGCAUCUUCUCCGGACCCUGCAGCCUUAUUUGGCCUGGAUUCCAUGGUGUAGUCCUCUCCCCUCACUUCCUUUUAAGAGCCUCCUUAGUAGGCUUAGCUUUUCUAAAGAUCUUAUUCCUCAUAGCCAGCCAUAUAGCUACAAUUUGGGGGAGGGGGAGGAUGCAGAUUAUUUAGGUGUUAUAAAUUUUUUUAAAACUUAACAUUUGGGAUUCCUAUGCUUUUUUAAACAAAAUGGAAACAAACUUGUGGUUCAUGGUUC
rnacentral:lncRNA from 1 species